rnacentral:rRNA from 1 species
CCUACGGGAGUCAGCAGUGAGGAAUAUUGGUCAAUGGGCGCGAGCCUGAACCAGCCAAGUAGCGUGAAGGAUGACUGCCCUCCGGGUUGUAAACUUCUUUUAUAAAGGAAUAAAGUGAGGCACGUGUGCCUUUUUGUAUGUACUUUAUGAAUAAGGAUCGGCUACCUCCGUGCCAGCAGCCGCGGUAAUACGGAGGAUCCGAGCGUUAUCCGGAUUUAUUGGGGUGAAAGGGAGCGUAGAUGGGUUGGUAAGUCAGUUGUGAAAUUUUGCGGCUCAACCGUAAAAUUGCAAUUGAUACUGGCAGUCUUGAGUACAGGUGAGGUAGGCGGAAUUCGUGGUGUAGCGGUGAAAUGCUGAGAUAUCACGAAGAACUCCGAUGGCGAAGGCAGCUUACUAAACUGCCACUGACAUUGAUGCUCGAAAGUGUGGGUAUCAAACAGGAUUAGAUACCCUUGUAGUC